UUUCUAAUCCCUCCGUCCGAAAAUACUUGUCAUCAAACUGGAUAAAAAGAGAUGUAUCUAAAACUAAAAUACGUCUAGAUACAUUUCCUCUUGUCCAUUUUGAUGAUAAGUAUUUCCGGACGGAGGGAGUAUUUG
rfam:Triticum aestivum genome assembly, contig: Triticum_aestivum_CS42_TGACv1_scaffold_331016_4BS